rnacentral:tRNA from 1 species
GGGGUGCUAGCUCAUCUGGUAGAGCGCGACAUUCGCAUUGUCGAGGUGAGGAGUUCAAGUCUCCUGCACUCCACCA